UCCCAAGUCUGGCCAUAGCGGGGUACACAAAUGGGCUGGUACCCUACUCCCCUCUGGCCCAGCAUCUCACUCUCCAUAAGGUGGAGACACUACCUGACCUCUUCCAGCAAGCCCAAUCGUUCAUUGAGGUGGAAGAGCAGAAUGAGAACAAGCUAGUGGAACUUGAGAGCACUAGCUUCAAAAAACCAAAGUUCGAGAAAAAGAGCUACGGCGGAAAGAACAGUUUCCGAGGCUCUUCGAACAAGUACACUGAUAAUGCGGCUAGUUCAUACAAAAAGGAAUGGAAGCCUAAGCAUGACAAUAAAGUGUACCAAACAACCACCAAACAGUUGCCAAAGGGUCCAUCCCAACCAUGGAAGGAGUGAACCCCUCUGACAAUCAACAAGGGCGAACUGUUUGAGAAACUCAAAAAUCGGGCAGAUCUACCUCCUGCCCAUACUCUGGACCCUGCAACCAAAAGUAGUCGCAAAAAGGGUGGAAGGUUCUGUAAAUUUCACAAGGACCACGGCCACCUCACCGACCAUUGCAGAGAGUUCUCGAUCUACGUCUAGCAACUAGUCUCAAAGGGUGAACUUGGCA
rnacentral:lncRNA from 1 species